rnacentral:misc_RNA from 1 species
AAGUCGUAACAAGGUAUCCGUAGGUGAACCUGCGGAUGGAUCAUUACCAAAGGACACUCAAUGUCUUGUGAACUGUAUUGACUUACCACGGUCUGGGCGCCUCCUCGGAGCUGCCCAGGCUGUACACAACAAACCUACAAACUCAACUUACAUCCUCGAGAACAAAAUCUAAAUAACUUUUAGCAAUGGAUCUCUUGGCUCUC